rnacentral:rRNA from 1 species
UACGUAGGGUGCAAGCGUUACUCAGAAUUACUGGGCGUAAAGCGUGCGCAGGUGGUGAUGUAAGACAGAUGUGAAAUCCCCGGGCUCAACCUGGGAACUGCAUUUGUGACUGCAUCGCUGGAGUGCGGCAGAGGGGGAUGGAAUUCCGCGUGUAGCAGUGAAAUGCGUAGAGAUGUGGAGGAACACCGAUGGCGAAGGCAGCCCCCUGGGCUGAGAUUGACGCUCAGGCACGAAAGCGUGGGGAGCAAACAGG